UACGUAGGGUGCGAGCGUUGUCCGGAAUUAUUGGGCGUAAAGAGCUCGUAGGUGGUUUGUCGCGUCGACUAUGAAAGCUCCUGGCUUAACUGGGAGUGUGUGGUCGGUACGGGCAGACUGGAGGCAGGCAGAGGUCGGUGGAAUUCCCGGUGUAGUGGUGAAAUGCGUAGAGAUCGGGAGGAACAUCAGUGGCGAAAGCGGCCGACUGGGCCUGUCCUGACGCUGAGGCGCGAAAGCGUGGGGAGCGAACCGG
rnacentral:rRNA from 1 species